rnacentral:misc_RNA from 1 species
ACAGUACUUCAAUAACUUGAGUUGUCAGUUAAAUUAAAUCUGUGUGUUUUUAAAUAAAACCCAAAUGCUUUAAUUUUUGCGAUAUGAUCCCAUUCAGAACUUUUAGUAACUUUUGUUUGUGUUUAAAAGGUCGGUGAUUUCUGUCAAGAGUCAAGGAAAUUAAAACUGCAACUCCAUUUCUCCAACCUACUCUUAAGAACUUAACAGAUCACGUUAGACGUCUCAAGGUAUGUUUGCUGCCGCGUCGCUUUCUGACACCAACCGGAUGCCGCCACCAAGAGUGUGGCAUCGCCUCGACCGACUUCAUUACAGCCGAGGCAGAGCCGGGCCCGAGGGAGACUCGGCUUACCGUACAGUUCUUGCAAGACGCCCGGAAUAUCGGCGGUGGCUUCAACCAUUUAAUCAUAGAAAUUACGCGGGUGGAAUAUUCAAUCGCCACAGUGUUGGUAGAAGAGCGUACAGUUACAACGCCAGGCGCCGUGUAGACGCAAAUGAUCGACUCCGACAUUAUCAAGCAUACAGGCAACGCCAGGUAUUAAGUCAACGUCGCAGUAAGCGUCGGGCAAGACAACCUUACACGCUACCUUCUACCAUUCUGCGUGCGGGAUCUGUGAAUAUGACAAAUAUAAGCUAUAUUUAAUGUAAAAUUUAUUGCAAAUUGUCAUCCCACAAAAAUAAAUACCUAUC